rnacentral:rRNA from 1 species
AUUGAACGCUGGCGGCAUGCCUUACACAUGCAAGUCGAACGGCAGCGGGGACUUCGGUCCGCCGGCGAGUGGCGAACGGGUGAGUAAUGUAUCGGAACGUACCAUUCAGUGGGGGAUAACUAUCCGAAAGGAUAGCUAAUACCGCAUAUUCUGUGAGCAGGAAAGCAGGGGAUCGCAAGACCUUGCGGUGCUUGAGCGGCCGAUAACAGAUUAGCUAGUUGGUGAGGUAACGGCUCACCAAGGCUACGAUCUGUAGCGGGUCUGAGAGGAUGAUCCGCCACACUGGGACUGAGACACGGCCCAGACUCCUACGGGAGGCAGCAGUGGGGAAUUUUGGACAAUGGGCGCAAGCCUGAUCCAGCCAUGCCGCGUGAGUGAAGAAGGCCUUCGGGUUGUAAAGCUCUUUCGGCCGGGAAGAAAUCGCAUCAGCUAAUACCUGGUGUGGAUGACGGUACCGGAAUAAGAAGCACCGGCUAACUACGUGCCAGCCGCCGCAGUAAGAC